rnacentral:rRNA from 1 species
CCUGAUUCCAUGCCGAACCUUUGGACCCACCUGAUUCCAUGCCGAACUCAGUAGUGAAACGAAGCAGCGCCGAUGGUAGUGUGGGGUCUCCCCAUGUGAGAGUAGGACAUCGCCAGGC